UUGACCUCGGAUCAGGUAGGAAUACCCGCUGAACUUAAGCAUAUCAAUAAGCGGAGGAAAAGAAACCAACAGGGAUUGCCCCAGUAACGGCGAGUGAAGCGGCAACAGCUCAAAUUUGAAAUCUGGCCCCUCCGGGUCCGAGUUGUAAUUUGUAGAGGAUGCUUUUGGUGAGGUGCCGCCCGAGUUCCCUGGAACGGGACGCCACAGAGGGUGAGAGCCCCGUCUGGCUGGCCACCGAGCCUCUGUAAAGCUCCUUCGACGAGUCGAGUAGUUUGGGAAUGCUGCUCAAAAUGGGAGGUAUAUGUCUUCUAAAGCUAAAUAUUGGCCAGAGACCGAUAGCGCACAAGUAGAGUGAUCGAAAGAUGAAAAGCACCUUGAAAAGAGGGUUAAACAGUACGUGAAAUUGUUGAAAGGGAAGCGCUUGUGACCAGACUUGGGCGCGGCGGAUCAUCCGGGGUUCUCUCCGGUGCACUUCGCCGCGUUCAGGCCAGCAUCAGUUCGUCGCGGGGGAAAAAGGCUUCGGGAACGUGGCUCCUCCGGGAUGUGUUAUAGCCCGUUGCAUAA
rnacentral:rRNA from 1 species